rnacentral:lncRNA from 1 species
GUAGUUAGGCCCUAAUAAUCAGAAUGAGAUGGCCCAAGCCGCAGUUUUCGUACUAUACAUGGUGGGCCUGGACCCAAACUGUUAAACUCUUGCCCAUAUACGCACUCACUUUUCAAAAUUAACGGAUUCAUUUCGACACUUAAUUAUAAUACUUUGUAAGAAUGUAAAUAAUAUAGGAUCUUUUCUUCUUUCAUUUUUAG